ACGGGUGAGUAAUGUCUGGGAAACUGCCCGAUGGAGGGGGAUAACUACUGGAAACGGUAGCUAAUACCGCAUAACGUCGCAAGACCAAAGUGGGGGACCUUCGGGCCUCACACCAUCGGAUGUGCCCAGAUGGGAUUAGCUAGUAGGUGGGGUAAUGGCUCACCUAGGCGACGAUCCCUAGCUGGUCUGAGAGGAUGACCAGCCACACUGGAACUGAGACACGGUCCAGACUCCUACGGGAGGCAGCAGUGGGGAAUAUUGCACAAUGGGCGCAAGCCUGAUGCAGCCAUGCCGCGUGUAUGAAGAAGGCCUUCGGGUUGUAAAGUACUUUCAGCGGGGAGGAAGGCGGUGGAGUUAAUAGCUUCACCGAUUGACGUUACCCGCAGAAGAAGCACCGGCUAACUCCGUGCCAGCAGCCGCGGUAAUACGGAGGGUGCAAGCGUUAAUCGGAAUUACUGGGCGUAAAGCGCACGCAGGCGGUCUGUCAAGUCGGAUGUGAAAUCCCCGGGCUUAACCUGGGAACUGCAUUCGAAACUGGCAGGCUAGAGUCUUGUAGAGGGGGGUAGAAUUCCAGGUGUAG
rnacentral:rRNA from 1 species